rnacentral:rRNA from 1 species
UGGUCUGUUAAGUCUCUGGGGAAAUCUGCCGGCUUAACCGGCAGGCGUCUCAGGGAUACUGGCAGACUAGGGACCGGGAGAGGUGAGAGGUACUCCAGGGGUAGGAGUGAAAUCCUGUAAUCCUUGGGGGACCACCUGUGGCGAAGGCGCCUCACCAGAACGGCUCCGACAGUGAGGGACGAAAGCUGGGGGAGCAAACCGGAUUAGAUACCCGGGUAGUCCCAGCCGUAAACGAUGCGCGUUAGGUGUAUCGGUGACCACGAGUCACCGAGGUGCCGAAGAGAAAUCGUGAAACGUGCCGCCUGGGAAGUACGGUCGCAAGGCUGAAACUUAAAGGAAUUGGCGGGGGAGCACCACAACAGGUGGAGCCUGCGGUUUAAUCGGACUCAACGCCGGAAAUCUCACCGGAUAAGACAGCUGGAUGAUAGUCGGGCUGAAGACUCUACUUGACUAGCUGAGAGGAGGUGCAUGGCCGUCGUCAGUUCGUACUGUGAAGCAUA